rnacentral:rRNA from 1 species
GCACAAGCGGUGGAUGAUGUGGUUUAAUUCGAUGCAACGCGAAAACCUUACCACCUUUGACAUGUACGGAAGCCUUUAGAGAUAGAGGCGUGCUCGAAAGAGAGCCGUAACACAGGUGCUGCAUGGCUGUCGUCAGCUCGUGUCGUGAGAUGUUGGGUUAAGUCCCGCAACGAGCGCAACCCUUGUCAUUAGUUGCUACAUUCAGUUGGGCACUCUAAUGAGACUGCCGGUGACAAGCCGGAGGAAGGUGGGGAUGACGUCAAGUCCUCAUGGCCCUUAUAGGUGGGGCUACACACGUCAUACAAUGGCUGGUACAAAGGGUUGCCAACCCGCGAGGGGGAGCUAAUCCCAUAAAGCCAGUCGUAGUUCGGAUCGUAGUCUGCAACUCGACUACGUGAAGUCGGAAUCGCUAGUAAUCGUGGAUCAGAAUGUCACGGUGAAUACGUUCCCGGGUCUU